GGGGAAUAUUGGGCAAUGGGCGAAAGCCUGACCCAGCAACGCCGCGUGAGGGAAGAAGGCCUUCGGGUUGUAAACCUCUGUCCUUGGUGACGAAAAAAAUGACGGUAGCCAAGGAGGAAGCCCCGGCUAACUACGUGCCAGCAGCCGCGGUAAUACGUAGGGGGCGAGCGUUGUCCGGAAUUACUGGGCGUAAAGGGUGCGUAGGUGGCCUUUUAAGUUGGAUGUGAAAUACCCGGGCUUAACUUGGGGGGUGCAUCUAAUACUGGAGGGCUAGAGUGCAGGAGAGGGAAGCGGAAUUCCUAGUGUAGCGGUGAAAUGCGUAGAUAUUAGGAGGAACACCGGUGGCGAAGGCGGCUUGCUGGACAAAUACUGACGCUGAGGUGCGAAAGCGUGGGGAGCAAACA
rnacentral:rRNA from 2 species